rnacentral:rRNA from 1 species
AUUGAACGCUGGCGGCAUGCCUUACACAUGCCAGUCGAACGGCAGCGGGCCCUUCGGGGUGCCGGCGAGUGGCGAACGGGUGAGUAAUGCAUCGGAACGUACCCGGGAGAGGGGGAUAACCGGCCGAAAGGCUGGCUAAUACCGCAUGAACUCGGAAGAGCAAAGCGGGGGACCUUCGGGCCUCGCGCUCUCGGAGCGGCCGAUGUCCGAUUAGGCUAGUUGGUGGGGUAAAGGCCCACCAGGGCGACGAUCGGUAGCGGGUCUGAGAGGACGAUCCGCCACACGGGGAUGGGGAAACGGCCCAACCCCCCAGGGGGGGGAGGGGGGGGGAAUUUUGGAAAAGGGGGGAAAGCCUGACCCAGCAAGGCCGCGGGGGGGAAGAAGGCCUUGGGGUUGGAAACCCCUUUGGGGGGGGAAGAAAUCGGGCAGGGGAAAAGUUCGGCUGGAUGACGGUCCCCGCAGAAGAAGCACCGGCUAACUACGU